rnacentral:RNase_P_RNA from 1 species
UGAGUUGGUCAGACAAUCGCUGGUUUAUUGAAGCCCUUAAAAUGAGUGGGACAAAUAGACGAGAGGAAAGUCCGAGCUACAUAGGGCAGAGUGCCAGAUAACGUCUGGGCGGCGUGAGCCGACGACAAGUGCAACAGAGAGCAGACCGCCAGUUUUACUGGUAAGGGUGAAAGGGUGCGGUAAGAGCGCACCGCAUGGCUGGUAACAGUGCAUGGCAGGGUAAACUCCACUCGUAGCAAGACCAAAUAGGAAUCCAACGUGUGGCCCGCAUGGGAUUCGGGUAGGUUGCUUGAGCGACGGAGUGAUUCGUCGCCUAGAGGAAUGAUUGUCCGCGACAGAACUCGGCUUAUCGACCAACUCAAUAU